rnacentral:rRNA from 1 species
UACGUAGGGCGCAAGCGUUGUCCGGAAUUAUUGGGCGUAAAGAGCUCGUAGGCGGUUUGUCGCGUCUGCUGUGAAAACCUAAGGCUCAACCUUGGGCUUGCAGUGGGUACGGGCAGACUAGAGUGCGGUAGGGGUGACUGGAAUUCCUGGUGUAGCGGUGGAAUGCGCAGAUAUCAGGAGGAACACCUGAGGUGAAGACGGGUUGCUGGGGCUGAUACUGACGCUGAGGCGCGAAAGCUAGGGUAGCAAACGGG